rfam:Oryza glaberrima chromosome 7 Oglab07_0089_3, whole genome shotgun sequence.
AAAAAGGCAAACCGUGGGUUCCUGUGUCAAUGUUUGACUGUCCGUCUUAUAUGAAAUUUUUUUUAUAAUUAGUAUUUUCAUUGUUGUUAGAUGAUAAAACAUGAUUAAUACUUUAUGCGUGACUUAUCUUUUUAUUUUUUUUUAUAAUUUUUUCAAAUAAGACAAACGGUCAAACGUUGGACACGAAAACCAGGGUUUGUCUUUUU